GCAGUGUUAUCCGGAAUUAUUGGGCGUAAAGCGUCUGCAGGUUGAUCUAUAAGUCCUUUGUUAAAUCUUCGGGCUCAACCCGAAAGCCGCAAAAGAAACUAUUUAUCUUGAGUAUGGUAGAGGUAAGGGGAAUUUCGAGUGGGGCGGUGAAAUGCGUAGAUAUUCGAAAGAACACCAAUAGCGAAGGCACCUUACUGGGCCAUUACUGACACUCAGAGACGAAAGCUAGGGUAGCAAACGGGAUUAGAUACCCCGGUAGUCCUAGCUGUAAACGAUGGAUACUAGAUGUUGCGUACUUUAUAGUAUGCAGUGUCGUAGCUAACGCGUUAAGUAUCCCGCCUGGGAAGUAUGCGCGCAAGCGUGAAACUCAAAGGAAUUGACGGGGGCCCGCACAAGCGGUGGAGCAUGUGGUUUAAUUCGAUGCAACACGAAGAACCUUACCAGGACUUGACAUGAAGAGAAGUUUUUUGAAAGAAAAAUGUGCUACGGCCUCUUACACAGGUGGUGCAUGGCUGUCGUCAGCUCGUGUCGUGAGGUGUUGGGUUAAGUCCCGCAACGAGCGCAACCCUUGUUUCUAGUUGAAUCUCUAGAAAGACUGCCGAUUAUAAAUCGGAGGAAGGUGAGGAUGACGUCAUGUCAUCAUGCCCCUUACGUCCUGGGCUACACACGUGCUACAAUGGAUGUGACAAAAAGUUGCCAGUUCGCGAGAACGAGCUAAUCUCUAUACACAUCCCCAGUUCAGAUUGUAGGCUGCAACUCG
rnacentral:rRNA from 1 species